rnacentral:rRNA from 1 species
GAAAGUAAGUAAGGGCGUAUGGGGAAUGCCUAGGCUCUUGGAGGCUAAGAAGGACGUGGUAAGCUGCGAAAAGCUGCGGGGAUUUGCAAACGAGACUCGAUCCGCAGAUAUCCGAAUGGGACAACCCGGCAGGUAGAAGACCUGUCACACCGCGAGGUGAGCUAACCCUCUGAACUGAAACAUCUAAGUAGGAGGAGGAAAAGAAAGAAACAUCGAUUUCCAAAGUAGCGGCGAGCGAAAUGGAAGAAGCCCAAACCGAUAUUGUUACGGCAAUAUCGGGGUUGUAGGACUGCAAUAUUCAAUUAACAAUGAACUGGAAUGGUCUGGAAAGUCCAUCCAUAGAGAGUGAAAGGCUCGUACAGGUAAGUUUGUUAUGCGAAAGCAGUAUCCUGAGUAUGGCGGGACACGAGGAAUCCUGUCAGAAUCAGCCGGGACCACCCGGUAAGGCUAAAUACUCCCAAGAGACCGAUAGUGGACCAGUACUGUGAAGGAAAGGUGAAAAGAACCCCGAACAGGGGAGUGAAAUAGAACCUGAAACCAUACGCUUACAACCGGUCGGAGCAGCUUCGUGCUGUGACGGCGUGCCUAUUGAAUAAUGAGCCUACGAGUUACUAAUCACUGGCAAGGUUAAGUGCACGGAUGCACGGAGCCGAAGCGAAAGCGAGUCUGAAUAGGGCGUUUAGUCAGUGGUUGUAGACGCGAAACCUUGCGAUCUACCCUUGAGCAGGUUGAAGGUUGGGUAAAACCAACUGGAGGACCGAACGAAUAAGCGUUGAAAAGCUUCUCGAUGACUUGAGGGUAGGGGUGAAAGGCUAAUCAAGCUGGGAAAUAGCUCGUACUCCCCGAAAUGCCUUUUGGGGCAGCGUUGUAAUAAAGAGUCUACUGGAGGUAGAGCUACUGAUUGGAUGCGGGGGCUUCACCGCCUACCAAAUCCUGACAAACUCCGAAUGCCAGUAGUAUGAUUUACAGCAGUGAGCGACCGGGUGCUAAUGUCCGGUUACGAGAGUGGAACAACACAGACCAGCAACUAAGGUCCCGAAGAGUAUACUAAGUUGAUCUAACGAUGUUUUGCUGCAGAGACAGCUAGGAUGUUAGCUUGGAAGCAGCUAUUCAUUCAAAGAGUGCGUAACAGCUCACUAGUCGAGCGACAGAGCGUGGAUAAUAAACGGGCAUCAAGCAUAUCACCGAAGUUCUGGGCGCGAGAGCGCGGUAGGGGAGCAUUCCAUUCAGCGUCGAAGCAGUUUCGUGAGGAAUUGUGGAGCGUAUGGAAAAGCAAAUGUAGGCAUGAGUAACGAUAAUGCGGGAGAGUAACCCGCACACCGCAAGACCAAGGUUUCCUGAUCAACGCUAAUCGGAUCAGGGUUAGUCGGGUCCUAAGGGUAAGCCGAACGGCGAUCUCGAUGGAUAAUCGGUUAAUAUUCCGAUACUAACAUAUACCUCGAUGGAGAGACGAAGGAACGUAAGUGCCGCCACCUGACGGAAUAGGUGGUUAAAGGGCGUAGGUAUAGGGGCAGAUUAAGAGUUAGUCCUUGCUGAAACCUGACAGUACAGAGAGCCUACGGGCAAUUUGAUAGUGCACCCAAGUCGACUUCCGAGAAAAUCUUCUAAGUUAUAGUAUAUGUCACCCGUACCGUAAACCGACACAGGUGGUCGAGGAGAGUAUCCUAAGGUGCUCGAGUGAAUCACGGUUAAGGAACUAGGCAAAUUAACCCCGUAACUUCGGGAAAAGGGGUCCCUACGCGAGUAGGGCGCAGCGAAGAGGUCCAGGCGACUGUUUAUCAAAAACACAGGGCUCUGCAAAUUCGAAAGAAGACGUAUAGGGCCUGACACCUGCCCGGUGCUGGAAGGUUAAGAGGAGAUGUCAUCGCAAGAGAAGCAUUGAAUCGAAGCCCCAGUAAACGGCGGCCGUAACUAUAACGGUCCUAAGGUAGCGAAAUUCCUUGUCGGGUAAGUUCCGAC